rnacentral:rRNA from 1 species
UACGGAAGGCAGCAGUGGGGAAUAUUGCACAAUGGGCGCAAGCCUGAUGCAGCCAUGCCGCGUGUAUGAAGAAGGCCUUCGGGUUGUAAAGUACUUUCAGUCGUGAGGAAGGUGUUAAGGUUAAUAACCUUAGCAAUUGACGUUAGCGACAGAAGAAGCACCGGCUAACUCCGUGCCAGCAGCCGCGGUAAUACGGAGGGUGCGAGCGUUAAUCGGAAUUACUGGGCGUAAAGGGCACGCAGGCGGUUAAUUAAGUUGGAUGUGAAUCCCCGGGCUUAACCUGGGAAUGGCAUUCAAGACUGGUUAGCUAGAGUCUUGUAGAGGGGGUAGAAUUCCAUGUGUAGCGGUGAAAUGCGUAGAGAUGUGGAGGAAUACCGGUGGCGAAGGCGGCCCCUGGACAAAAGACUGACGCUCAUGUGCGAAAGCGUGGGGAGCAAAACAGGGAUUAGAUACC